GCCAGCAGCCAUAUUACCUUGCAGCUCACAACUGGCAAUCCACUGGAGCCCAGCAGGUGUGAGCCUGGUCAGUACCUGGAUGGGAGACCUCCUGGGAAAAACUAAGACUGCUGCUGGAA
rnacentral:rRNA from 1 species